rnacentral:rRNA from 1 species
CUGAANAUCUAGAGAUUAGAUUGUCCCUUCGGGGCAGGAAGACAGGUGGUGCAUGGUUGUCGUCAGCUCGUGUCGUGAGAUGUUCGGUUAAGUCCGGCAACGAGCGCAACCCCUGUGGCCAGUUGCCAUCAUUCAAUUGGGCACUCUGGCAAGACUGCCGUUAAUAAAACGGAGGAAGGUGGGGAUGACAUCAAAUCAUCAUGCCCCUUAUGUCCUGGGCUUCACACGUACUACAAUGGGAACAACAGAGGGCAGCCACACCGCGAGGUGGAGCGAAUCCCAAAAUGUUAUCCCAGUUCGGAUUGCAGGCUGAAACUCCCCUGCAUGAAGCAGGAAUUGCUAGUAAUGGCAGGUCAUCAUACUGCCGUGAAUACGUUCCCGGGUCUUGUACACACCGACG